UACGGAGACCUCGAGCGUUACUCGGAUUUACUGGGCGUAAAGUGUCCGUAGGCGGCCCUGUGUGUCGGGUGUGAAAUCCCACGGCUUAACCGUGGAACUGCGCUCGAAACUACAGGGCUAGAGUAUUGGAGAGGUGAGUGGAAUUCCAGGUGUAGCGGUGAAAUGCGUAGAUAUCUGGAGGAACACCAACGGCGAAGGCAGCUCACUGGACAAUUACUGACGCUGAGGGACGAAAGCGUGGGGAGCAAAAGGG
rnacentral:misc_RNA from 1 species